AUUGAACGCUGGCGGCAUGCCUUACACAUGCAAGUCGAACGGUAACGGGCCUUCGGGUGCCGACGAGUGGCGAGCGGGUGAGUAAUGUAUCGGAACGUACCUUUCAGUGGGGGAUAACGUAGCGAAAGUUACGCUAAUACCGCAUAUUCUGUGAGCAGGAAAGCAGGGGAUCGCAAGACCUUGCGCUGAUUGAGCGGCCGAUAUCAGAUUAGCUAGUUGGUGAGGUAAAGGCUCACCAAGGCGACGAUCUGUAGCGGGUCUGAGAGGAUGAUCCGCCACACUGGAACUGAGACACGGUCCAGACUCCUACGGGAGGCAGCAGUGGGGAAUUUUGGACAAUGGGGGCAACCCUGAUUCAGCCAUGCCGCGUGAGUGAAGAAGGCCUUCGGGUUGUAAAGCUCUUUCGGCCGGGAAGAAAUCGCAUGGGUUAAUACCCUGUGCGGAUGACGGUACCGGCAUAAGAAGCACCGGCUAACUACGUGCCAGCAGCCGCCGUAACAC
rnacentral:rRNA from 1 species